rnacentral:rRNA from 1 species
UAGGAUUCCCUUAGUAGCUGCGAGCGAACAGGGAAAAGCCCAGCACCGAAUCUUGCGGCCGGUAACGGUCGCCGAGAAAUGUGGUGUUAGGGAGGAUCCGUUAUCUCGAGGUAAUACGGUGCGUCCAAGUCCUUCUUGAACGGGGCCACAGCCCAUAGAGGGUGCCAGGCCCGUAGCGACUGCCGUUUACAGCGAGAGGGUCUCUCCUCAGAGUCGGGUUGCUUGAGAGUGCAGCCCUAAGUGGGUGGUAAACUCCAUCUAAGGCUAAAUAUGACCACGAGACCGAUAGCGAACAAGUACCGUGAGGGAAAGUUGAAAAGCACUUUGAAGAGAGAGUUCAAGAGUACGUGAAACCGUUUAGGGGUAAACCUGAGAAACCCGAAAGGUCGAAAGGAGAAAUUCAUUCGCGUUUCGGCCGGCGGUGACGGGCGUUAGAGUGACGUCGAGCUUCGUGCGAGACGCGCCUUUCGUUCGUCUUACCGUUGUCGAACGCGUGCACUUUUCUCCUAGUAGGACGUCGCGAUCCGUUGGGUGCGGGUAUAAGGCCUCCGGUGGAGUCCUCGAGUCGUUUCGUAUUCGAGAACCCGGGGUGUCCCUACCUGCUCGCUCGACGGUAUAAUGAUGGCGCGGAGCCGCUACCYGUUAGCGUUCGGCCCGCGGCAAGCAAGUCGGGUGUGUCGGCCUCCGGACCUAGCGCCGGUUCUGACCCCCGGCUACUGUUGGCCGCGGUGUUCUCGGACAGACUCCGUACACGCCGAUCGGCGACGCUUUAGCUUUGGGUACUUUCAGGACCCGUCUUGAAACACGGACCAAGGAGUCUAGCAUGUGCGCGAGUCAUUGGGACAUAACUAAACCUAAAGGCGCAAUGAAAGUAAAAGUUUGCCUCGCGCAAACCUAGGGAAGAUAGGCGGUUUGCCCUUAAAAGUGGCCGCCUCGCACUCCCGGGGCGUCUCGUUCUCAUCGCGAGAUGAGGCGCACCAAGAGCGUACACGCUGGGACCCGAAAGAUGGUGAACUAUGCCUGGUCAGGACGAAGUCAGGGGAAACCCUGAUGGAGGUCCGUAGCGAUUCUGACGUGCAAAUCGAUCGUCGGAACUGGGUAUAGGGGCGAAAGACUAAUCGAACCAUCUAGUAGCUGGUUCCCUCCGAAGUUUCCCUCAGGAUAGCUGGCGCUCGUAGCGCACGAGUCUCAUCCGGUAAAGCGAAUGAUUAGAGGCAUUGGGGUCGAAACGACCUCAACCUAUUCUCAAACUUUAAAUGGGUGAGAUCUCCGGCUUGCUCGAACUCAUGAAGCCGCGAGACACGGAUCAGAG